rnacentral:rRNA from 1 species
UACGUAGGGCGCAAGCGUUUAUCCGGAAUUAUUGGGCGUAAAGAGCUCGUAGGCGGUUUGUCGCGUCUGCCGUGAAAGUCCGGGGCUCAACUCCGGAUCUGCGGUGGGUACGGGCAGACUAGAGUGAUGUAGGGGAGACUGGAAUUCCUGGUGUAGCGGUGAAAUGCGCAGAUAUCAGGAAGAACACCUAUGGCGAAGGCAGCACUCUGGGACGGUACUGACGCUGAGACGCGAAAGCGUGGGAGCGAACAGG